rnacentral:misc_RNA from 1 species
AAGUCGUAACAAGGUUUUUGGAUACAGCAUGAAAAUGAACCUUCCUGGUUCAACUUGCUGAAGCCUUAGCAGCAAGCAUACUGCUUGUAUGGAUGGUCGGGGAAGCACUCUUGUCAUGAGAGCUGUGUUACUCGCAUCAGUAUGUGAUUGUAAUUAUCAAUGUAUUCUUGCAUUGAUGUCACACGUCGACUUCUGCAAGGGCUUUUGUUCUCUAUUGAGCUUUCACGUCCGUAAGCAAAAUAGAGGACGCUUUUUUUCAUAUCAACCAUUUUCACCCCGUUUUUAAACAGUUGAUUUAUCAUGUGAAUCUUUACGCAAGUUUGGAUUCCACGUUCUUAAUUGAACACAAAUACAACUCUUAGCAAUGGAUGUCUAGGUUCUC